CCAAGUUUUAAACCGCGGAUUGCCGGCUACUGUCUGUGGCGACAAAAACAUUUUAACCCUCCUCCAAGAAGAGAAUUCUCUCUUGUCACAUUUUAACUCGACUCCGAAUUUCUGCCUAGAGGGUGCUGCUGUCCUCAGCGAUUUUUCCCCCCGCAUCUCAAACUCGAACGAACCUCAUCUGGUCGAAAAACGUCAUUUCAAAAACAGCAGAAAUCAUCUUGUCCUGAAAAAUCGAAUUCCUCAUUUCAAGAAAGAGUAAACGAUACUUUAAAAUAAUUAUCCACCAGUUCUUUUCUGGACGUUUUAUUGUAUCGUGUUGAUAUCACGGCCUUUGUGUCUCACUGACGUAACAGCUGUAAAGCUAUGCUCCAGGCAAGCGGAAGGCCAAAAGUUUACUCUUUCGUCUGGGUUG